GUGACCUCAGCGGCCUGGCUGUUGUUUGUUUGCUUGUUUGCUCUGCCCGUCAUCCGUGUCGCCGGCCUACAGGAACCCACUCGGAUACGCUCCCGCCAGAUCGAUCUGGAGAUGGACGAAGCACAUCUCUCAUCCAUUGCGCCGGCACGCACAAUAAGAAAAAAAAAAAAAAAAUAAACUUGUGAUGCUCUACGCAGCUACGGAGCACAGAGUGUGGGUAGAGCAAACAUUGUUCUCCACUUGUUUAUUUAUUUUAUUUAUUUAUUUAUUUACCUCAAACUGUCGGGUAGGCCUGUAAUACCAACGACCCAGGUUCCCGCAACCACGAGCUAACGAACCUCGCCGACGAAGUUCAUUCAUCCUGCAUUCUUUGAUUUCCCCGCUGCAGACUUCCCUAGGGCUCCCAGUUCCAGCCCAUAAAUAGCAGCAUUGCCAUCCAUCCCUGCUUUCCCUGUUGCUCCAAAACUAAUUUAGUAGUUAACUACAGCGUAGUCCCCAGGAGACUCUGGUGAACAUAUGGUAUGGUGCAGCCCAUCGAAAAAAAAAAAAAAAAAUUCUAGCCUUCCUUGUUCAGUGUACGCGGAAGUACACUUUUAUUUGUUUCAUUUUUGAUAUAUAUAGCUAUAUCUAGAAAUAAAGAUUGCAUUUGUCAUUCAUCUCCUCCCUUUAUUCUAUCUCUUUCAAUUUCAUAAUGUUAGCAACAUAAUAGCAAUAGCAAGAGAAGAGUGUGCGGGGAGGGGGAAACCUUAUGUGCAGCGUGAUGGCAUAGGUUUUUUUUUUUUUUUUUUUUUCCUUUUUUUUCUUGAUAUGGGCCAAAAGAUUCGAUUCUACAACCCAGCCUCCCCGAUCGUUGAUUUGCUCCUAUUUUUUGGUUUUUCUAUUUCUCGAUUUUUCCUUAGCGGGCGGGCUAAACGACGGAACUAACGAUAACGAUGUCUGUGGCUUGAUGCCAUCCGGGGGGCUGAGCAAGCAGACAGGAUAGUUUUUUUUUUUGGUUUUGAGCCUCCCUUUUUGGUGAGCUUUUCAUUUUCACUUGCUUGAUGCACGGACUGGAAUAUUCGCCACAGUCCUCACUGUCUUCUUCCAGUCUUCCAGAUGAAGAUCUUAAUUCUUCCAUGCAUGCUUGCGGCGGUGGGGGGCGGGUAAGGGGUUGGGGUUGUUCAAUUGCAGCAUUUCUUCAGUUAACUACGGAGUAUUUGGGGACCAGAUGUUAAUUCAAUAAUAUAUCCUGCUUGCCUGCAAGAGGAAUCCUGGGUCGUCUAGGCUACGCAAUAGCCUAGCUAGGCUUCGAUUUCCCCUUCCCCCUCCAACCUCGCUUUUGUGACGAUUCAAACCCCGA
rnacentral:sRNA from 1 species